UACGGAGGGUGCGAGCGUUGUUCGGAAUCAUUGGGCGUAAAGAGCGUGCAGGCGGCUUGUCAGGUCUGAUGUGAAAGUCCCGGGCUUAACCCGGGAAGUGCAUUGGAAACCGGCAGGCUUGAAUACGGGAGAGGGCAGCGGAAUUCCUGGUGUAGGGGUGAAAUCCGCAGAUAUCAGGAAGAAGACCGGGAGCGAAGGCGGCUGCCUGGACCGAUAUUGACGCUGAGACGCGAAAGCGUGGGGAGCAAAC
rnacentral:rRNA from 1 species